rnacentral:rRNA from 1 species
UACGAGGGGGGCAAGCGUUGUUCGGAAUUAUUGGGCGUAAAGGGCGCGUAGGCGGUGCGGUAAGUCACCUGUGAAAUCUCUGGGCUCAACUCAGAGUCUGCAGGCGAAACUGCCGUGCUGGAGUAUGGGAGAGGUGCGUGGAAUUCCCGGUGUAGCGGUGAAAUGCGUAGAGAUGUGGAGGAAUACCGAUGGCGAAGGCAGCCCCCUGGGCCAAUACUGACGCUCAUGCACGAAAGCGUGGGGAGCAAACAGG